UACGUAGGGUGCGAGCGUUGUCCGGAAUUAUUGGGCGUAAAGGGCUCGUAGGCGGUCUGUUGCGUCAGGAGUGAAAACUCGGGGCUUAACCCCGAGCCUGCUUCUGAUACGGGCAGACUAGAGGUAUGCAGGGGAGAACGGAAUUCCUGGCGUAGCGGUGAAAUGCGCAGAUAUCAGGAGGAACACCCAUGGCGAAGGCAGCUCUCUGGUCGACCUCUGACGCUGAGACGCGAAAGCGUGGGGAGCGAACGGG
rnacentral:rRNA from 1 species